CCUACGGGUGGCAGCAGUGGGGAAUAUUGGGCAAUGGAGGCAACUCUGACCCAGCAACGCCGCGUGAGUGAUGAAGGUCUUCGGAUUGUAAAACUCUUUAAGUGGGGACGAAGAACGUGACUGUGCCACCCAAAUAAGCCUCGGCUAAAUACGUGCCAGCAGCCGCGGUAAUACGUGGGAGGCAAGCGUUAUCCGGAAUGACUGGGCGUAAAGGGUGAGUAGGUGGUGUGGCAAGGUCGUGGCGUAAUCCCGGGGCUCAACGUCGGAAGUAAUACUAAAACUGCGGGGCGUGAGUGCAGGAGGGGCAUAUGGAAUACCUAGUGUAGCGGUGGAAUGCGUAGAUAUUAGGAGGAACACCAGUGGCGAAGGCGAUAUGCUGGACUGUAACUGACACUGAGGCACGAAAGCGUGGGGAGCAAACAGGAUUAGAUACCCCAGUAGUC
rnacentral:rRNA from 1 species